GACGAACGCUGGCGGCGUGCCUAAUACAUGCAAGUUGAGCGCUGAAGGUUGGUACUUGUACCAACUGGAUGAGCAGCGAACGGGUGAGUAACGCGUGGGGAAUCUGCCUUUGAGCGGGGGACAACAUUUGGAAACGAAUGCUAAUACCGCAUAAAAACUUUAAACACAAGUUUUAAGUUUGAAAGAUGCAAUUGCAUCACUCAAAGAUGAUCCCGCGUUGUAUUAGCUAGUUGGUGAGGUAAAGGCUCACCAAGGCGAUGAUACAUAGCCGACCUGAGAGGGUGAUCGGCCACAUUGGGACUGAGACACGGCCCAAACUCCUACGGGAGGCAGCAGUAGGGAAUCUUCGGCAAUGGACGAAAGUCUGACCGAGCAACGCCGCGUGAGUGAAGAAGGUUUUCGGAUCGUAAAACUCUGUGGUAGAGAAGAACGUUGGUGAGAGUGGAAAGCUCAUCAAGUGACGGUAACUACCCAGAAAGGGACGGCUAACUACGUG
rnacentral:rRNA from 1 species